rnacentral:misc_RNA from 1 species
UUUCCGUAGGUGAACCUGCGGAAGGAUCAUUAUUGUAUAACCGAGCUGCGAGGGCUGUCGCUGACCCGAAAGGUCGUGCACGCCCGAGUUCCCUCACACACAUCCAUCUCACCCCUAUGUGCACCACCGCGUGGGUCCCCCUUUGGCUUGUUCGGAGUGGGGCUUACGUUUUCACACAGAAUUUGUAUGCAGUGUAGAAUGUAUUUUUUGUUUUUGCGAUCACGCAAUAAAUACAACUUUCAACAACGGAUCUCUUGGCUCUC